AACGAACGCUGGCGGCAUGCCUAACACAUGCAAGUCGAACGAGACCUUCGGGUCUAGUGGCGCAUGGGUGCGUAACGCGUGGGAACCUGCCCUUAGGUUCGGAAUAACUCCCCGAAAGGGGUGCUAAUACCGGAUAAUGUCUUCGGACCAAAGAUUUAUCGCCUUUGGAUGGGCCCGCGUUGGAUUAGCUAGUUGGUAGGGUAAAAGCCUACCAAGGCGACGAUCCAUAGCUGGUCUGAGAGGAUGAUCAGCCACACUGGGACUGAGACACGGCCCAGACUCCUACGGGAGGCAGCAGUGGGGAAUAUUGGACAAUGGGCGAAAGCCUGAUCCAGCAAUGCCGCGUGAGUGAUGAAGGCCUUAGGGUUGUAAAGCUCUUUUACCCGGGAUGAUAAUGACAGUACCGGGAGAAUAAGCUCCGGCUAACUCCGUG
rnacentral:rRNA from 1 species